AGCUUGAAAUCAAGGUAAGUGAAGUCCAGCAGCAGCUGAAGGAUGAACAGCAGAGCAGAGAGGAAGCUGAGAAAGAUGUGCAGACUCUGAAGGAUGAAUUGGAGAAUAAAAACAAAGAGCUACAAGAGUCCAAGUGUCAGUUUGAGUCUCUCACAGAGGUGAGCCAAAAGUCUGAGAGACAGCUGAGUGAACUAAAAGAAAGAUACAAGGAGGAGUUCAAGAAGAAGAUUCGGGCCGAAAAGCAGAGGAGGAAGGAGGUUGAGGAAGAUGUAAAGUCCCUGAAACAGGAGCUGGAAAACAAGAUAAACCAGUUACAAAAAGCCAAAGAAGACCCCGAGGAGGCUGUGAAAGAAUGUGACAUCUCUGGAGAUGAACAUUUGGUGCCAACAGAACCAACUAACGCUCCGGACAAUUAAUAAAGUACAGUUACAAAUAAUGAUGUCACGGGCAAAAAAAACUUCCCCUGAAUUUUAUUUAACUGAUCUCUGUUUGAAUGCCUUACACACACACACACACACACACACACACACACACACACACACACAGUGAGCUUUAUAAAUAUUUGAUGUCAGUAAUUCAAUAUUUCUGUUACAUAAUUGUUUAUUGAAUCAAUUUCAGAAUUGUUAAAGGCUACAGUUUUUUCUUACUGUGAAUUUGUAUUAUUGGACAAUCUAUGCAGUAAUGUAAUACUGUGACAGCAGGAGGAUUUCAAUGCAGAUGUUUGUACUUUAAUUUCUGAUGUUUCACGUAUACGUUUACUUAAAUGCCACUGGCCUUUAUCAUACUCACAUUUAGUUUUGUGCUUCAUUCACUAAUUAUUAUAUUAGUGUUACAGUCACAUAUGAAACUAUUCUGACUGUGUGACUCUGUAUUAUUAUUAAUAUUAUUAAUGUUUUAUCGCUGAAAGAUUGGAUAUGUAUUUAAUAUUCUUUGUUAAGAGUAUUUUCUGUUCAGUUUGGACUAUUUACCUUUCAUUUUUAUAGCUCUUGAUAAGUAGGUUUCUUCUGCUGAAACUGUUAGAACAGAAAUGUACCUUAUCUUUGAAAGAGCAUUUGCACAUCGUUUGUCCUAAGGCCUGAUCCCUGUCUUUCAUACCAACUUUGUUUCCCUGGAAAAUUAUUUCUUGAAAAAAGUGUGUUUCCUAGUAAUAACCAGUUGAUGGUACAGUGCACACACAGUGCACCUGUUUGUCUAUUUACCACGAAUCUGUCUGAUUCUUUGCUCCCAAAUACAACUUCAGUUACCAAAUAAAACCAUGUUCUCUUCAGGCCAAGGUUACUGGUACAGUUCAAGCAGCAGUUGAACUGAUUGGUGUUCACUGUGGCACACUUUAGGCCUCACCUAGACCCCAGAUUUUAUCCUUGUGUGACAUGGUGGGCUGAAACACAUCUGUCCUUUGACAGAAGAAUGUCCCUGUUGUCAGGAUCUGAAAAAUGGAAACAUUUCACUAAAAAUCUUGAAAGUUAAAUUGUCUGAUGAGGGAACAUACACAGUUGUGAAAAUAAAGUUUUAACAGAUCCCCAUUCAGUCCUUUGAAAAGUACAUCCUUAAUGUUUCCAUAGGAAAUUACAGAGUCACUAUCAUCCAGGUGCAGAAAACGGAUCAUCACAAACUGUCACAACAUUUAUAAAAGUUGUUGUGUUAGUCGGUCUUUGGUCCAAUGCAGUUAUGGAGCAUUCGGCUAUGUGUUAAUAAAAUGAUACAAUUAUCCCCCGAGGAUAUGCAAGCAAACUCACUUAGGUCAGAUUGUGUAAAAUGACAUAUAUUACUAAAUGAAUAAGCA